CAACUGUUUGACUCCAAAUACAAGUGUUCUCUAGAUCAUGCUGCCACUAGAGCAGGGAUUCUUAACUUUUUUUCAUGUCAUGAGCCCUCUGGACAUCUGGGAAAGCUUAUUGAUCCUUGUAAUAGUGGGAUAGACAGAAGGGGCUUUAAAAUACUAGGAACAGGAAACCAGCUGCUGGAGGGGACUGAUUUCUGUGUAGCCACUUCCUCCUUCAUCCACUAAGCUGGUCAACCUUAAUGGAGUCUGGACCUGACCAAAAGACAUGCAGCCUGGUAUAGUGAACUUCAACUCCAACUCUGAGACAGAAAGAUGCAAGACCAAAUUCUGCCUCUGAUGCUAAAAAGGCAACUUCAAAGGAUCCCAGACUUCAAGCGGGAAGGGACUGAAGAGGACAUCUGGUGCAAUAUACUCAUUUUACCAAUGAGGAAAAUCAAACCCAGAGAUAUGAACUGAUUUGUGUAAGAUCACGCAGAUGAGAAAAUUGAGGUUGAGAGAGGAUAGAAGACUUCCCAGGGUCACAUAGUCAGUAAGUAUCUGAGGUGAAACUUAAACCCAACUCUUAAAGACUCUAAGAUCAUUACCCUGUCUACUGGAAAAUAUAUUCUAGAGCAGGGGUCCCCAAACUUUUUACACAGGGGGCCAGUUCACUGUCCCUCAGGCUGCUGGAGGGAUGAACUAUAAAAACCUAA
rnacentral:lncRNA from 1 species